rnacentral:rRNA from 1 species
AACGAGCGCUGGCGGCAGGCUUAACACAUGCAAGUCGAACGAAGUCUUCGGACUUAGUGGCAGACGGGUGAGUAACGCGUGGGAACCUACCUCUUGGUACGGAACAACAGUUGGAAACGACUGCUAAUACCGUAUGCGCCCUACGGGGGGAAAGAUUUAUCGCCGAGAGAUGGGCCCGCGUUGGAUUAGCUAGUUGGUGGGGUAAUGGCCUACCAAGGCGACGAUCCAUAGCUGGUCUGAGAGGAUGAUCAGCCACACUGGGACUGAGACACGGCCCAGACUCCUACGGGAGGCAGCAGUGGGGAAUAUUGGACAAUGGGGGCAACCCCGAUCCAGCCAUGCCGCGUGAGUGAUGAAGGCCCUAGGGUUGUAAAGCUCUUUCAGCGAGGAGGAUAAUGACGUUACUCGCAGAAGAAGCCCCGGCUAACUUCGUGCCAGCAGCCGCGGUAA